GGACUACAGGGGUAUCUAAUCCUGUUUGAUCCCCACGCUUUCGAGCCUCAGCGUCAGUAUCGGCUUGGUAAGCUGCCUUCGCAAUCGGUGUUCUGUUGCAUAUCUAAGCAUUUCACCGCUACAUGCAACAUUCCGCCUACCUCAACCGAACUCAAGAACAACAGUAUCAAUGGCAAUUCCCAAGUUGAGCCCGGGGCUUUCACCACUGACUUAUUAUUCCGCCUACGCUCCCUUUAAACCCAGUGAAUCCGGAUAACGCUUGCACCCUCCGUAUUACCGCGGCGGCUGGCAC
rnacentral:rRNA from 2 species